CACUGGUAGGUGAAGUUGCCAUUUUGUGGCCUCUUCCUUCCAGAGAGGUCAGCAACGUGCGUGCAGGGGCAGAGCUUGUGUGCAGGAGGUGGGGCUUCCAUCCAAGAAGCGGGGCUUAUGUGUGGUGGCCGGACAUAUGGCCAGAAGUGAUGUCAAUUGUGCAGGGAGACUGAUAGGUCUCCCUCCGGCCACACCAGCCCCCAGCUCCUCCCUCUUGACUUUCCUC